rnacentral:rRNA from 1 species
GAGAGUAAAACAGUACGUGAAAUUGUUGAAAGGGAAACGAUUGAAGUCAGUCAUGCCGGCGUUGGAUUCAGCUUGCUUCGCGGAGCUUGCGCAUUUCCUCGCAUGGCAGGUCAGCGUCAGUUUUGCGCGGCGUGAAAAGGCUCGGGUAAGGUAGCUCUCUUCGGGGAGUGUUAUAGACCUGGGCAAAUGCGCAGCGCGGGACUGAGGAUUGCAGCGGACAUCUCUUCGGAGGCGCGGCGACCGAACCCUGCUCGGCCACCCUCGUUCGAUAGCGUGCUAGCGGACGCGGGAGCGGCAGUGCACCGGAACAGGCAAGCCAGCGGUUCGCUUAGGAUGCUGACGUAAUGGCUUUAAACGA